AUUGAACGCUGGCGGCAGGCUUAACACAUGCAAGUCGAGCGGGGUGAUGGUGCUUGCACUAUCACUUAGCGGCGGACGGGUGAGUAAUGCUUAGGGAUCUGCCUAUUAGUGGGGGACAACAUCUCGAAAGGGAUGCUAAUACCGCAUACGUCCUACGGGAGAAAGCAGGGGAUCACUUGUGACCUUGCGCUAAUAGAUGAGCCUAAGUCGGAUUAGCUAGUUGGUGGGGUAAAGGCCUACCAAGGCGACGAUCUGUAGCGGGUCUGAGAGGAUGAUCCGCCAGACUGGGACUGAGACACGGACCAGACUCCUACGGGAGGCAGCAGUGGGGAAUAUUGGACAAUGGGGGGAACCCUGAUCCAGCCAUGCCGCGUGUGUGAAGAAGGCCUUAUGGUUGUAAAGCACUUUCAGCGAGGAGGAAAGGUUGGUAGCUAAUAACUGCCAGCUGUGACGUUACUCGCAGAAGAAGCACCGGCUAACUCCGUGCCAGCAGCCGCAGUAA
rnacentral:rRNA from 1 species